GUUCUAUUAAAUUGGUGUGUAUGGAUCUUUGAAUUGCUACAUCGAUCUCGUGGGAGAAACACGUAAGUCAGAGCCGCUGCCCUUUUUCCAUAAUUUUAUCUAUCCAGCCCAGUCCUGCCCAGUUUAAGUCCACUUAACCCAUCUCCGUUUCCACAUGGGCUGGUUUGGUCGAGACUGAAUUGAACAAAAAGGAAACUAGUUUGGGCAAAAAACAUAAAUAUUUAAAAGUUUUGGGGACAAAAUAAAACCUUCCUUAUAACCCGCUCUAAUUGUCAUUUAUCCCCCAGUUUCACGUUCUUUGCGUUAGAAUUUGCGUCUGUCUCGCUCUCUUCUCUCUCUUGAAUCUUCUCUUGUCCAAUUCACGCAGCGAGAUCCUUCUGCCGGAGCUGAUCACUGGAGGCCAUGGAGGACGAUUUCGAGUUUGCCGAUCACUCUCCUCCGUCGUUCCAGAACGUGGUAUGAUUUCAUCGAUUUCAAAUUCUCUAUCGAUUUCCAAUUAGUUGAUCUUGCAAGAUCUGCAUUCAUAGAAGUGAAAUUUUUAGGAUUUUAGCUCUGAGA
rnacentral:misc_RNA from 1 species